GUGAGGAAUAUUGGUCAAUGGACGGAAGUCUGAACCAGCCAAGUAGCGUGCAGGAUGACGGCCCUAUGGGUUGUAAACUGCUUUUAUGCGGGGGUAAAGUGAGUGACGUGUCAUUCAUUGCAAGUACCGCAAGAAUAAGGACCGGCUAAUUCCGUGCCAGCAGCCGCGGUAAUACGGAAGGUCCUGGUGUUAUCCGGAUUUAUUGGGUUUAAAGGGAGCGUAGGCCGUCAGGCAAGCGUGUUGUGAAAUGUCGUGGCUCAACCAUGGACUUGCAGCGCGAACUGCCCGACUUGAGUGCGCGGAAAGCAGGCGGAAUUUGUGGUGUAGCGGUGAAAUGCUUAGAUAUCACGAAGAACCCCGAUUGCGAAGGCAGCCUGCUGUAGCGCUACUGACGCUGAAGCUCGAAAGUGCGGGUAUCGAACAGGAUUAGAAACCCCUGUAGUCC
rnacentral:rRNA from 1 species